GGGAGACGCUCUCCUGGCGCCAGAGAAGGUGACACAAAUCAAGGGGGAACUAAGGCACUAUAUGCCAGGGGUAUAUAGUGAGGAGUAGCAGAUCCUUUCAGCUGGGGGCUCGCUCCGGGAUCGAGAAGGUUAACCCCUAAAGCUCCGGAACCAACUCAUCCCUUCGAAGUGGGAGACAUAGUGCUGGUCAAAGCACUGUGAGGAAAGAAGUCCCAGGCUGACUUUUCCUACGGUCCCCCGACCUCUGUGGUAGCAGUAACUCGCACAGCUGUACUCACUGACGAUUCCCCUACCUGGAUCCAUGCCGCUAGGAUCAAGCUGUACCAGAAGAAAGCAGUGAAAGGGGUACUAACGGGGGCAGACAGCCCUGACCUGAAGACCCAACCAGAGGUACUAACGGGGGCAGACAGCCCUGACCUGAAGACCCAACCAGAGGUACUAACAGGGGCAGACAGCCCUGACCUCCAUCUCCUAGCGAAGUUUGAAGAGUUCUGGAAUCAUGUGGAAACAACAUUGCCUGGUGCUCCCAUCAUGGUCAAUAACCUUAUUGACUUUAUUGACUAUUAGCUGCACUCAGGGGCAAGUAGGCAACACUUGGGAGGGCGGGAUCUCUGUUCUAUGGUAUAACUUCACAUCCUCAAGAGUUGUUUCCUGGCU